UGUUUUGGUAAUUUGGUAAAAGAACUUGUGCUCCCCUCUUGAUUAAAGGGGAGCUGUGAGAGCACCCUGGCCAGCCUGGAGCAGGCUAGCCCCUUAAGGGGCAAAUUCAGGCAAGGAAAUUAUACAUUUCCCAGCUAGUUUAAGGUUAUGUUUAUAACUUGAGGAGCUAGUCAAGGCAAUUAGAAGGAUUCUACUGUUCUAGGGUUACAGGUUUUCUGAUACUGUAUUAGAUGUAAGAAGCAAAAAUAUAAGAAUUUUUUUGUUGUUGCUGUUAAGCUGGCUGAUUGCAGGUAAAUCUAAUAGAAGUUUCUAGGUUAGUCAUUCAAUGAAAUAAUGAUAUGAAGGCAGGCUUACAGCUAGAUUUGCUGGCAGCACAGCUCUAAGCUCCCGAGGUGACCAUGCUGUUCAAUUUCUUGUUGGUACAACACUGUUAACUAGAUGGGUUAGUGUUAACAAGCUGUUGUCAGCUUUCCUGAGAAGACAGAACUGUGCCUGUGAUGCAGGCCCUUUUUCUUCCAACAAAAAAAGGAUGGGGAGCAGUGAUUCCAAAACAAGUCAACAGCCCUGGCAUCCAGGGGAGGAAGGAGCGAAAGAUGUAAAACAGGAUGAUGUCUGAUGUGUGAAACCCCUGCUACCCUAAAAUGUAGAAGAAAUUUGAAGAUAAGAAUGGUAAAGUCAAAACCAGCAUAUGGGAAGCUGAAAGCACUGCAAGGGUCAGGCUGUUUAUAAACAUCACCUUGAAGAGAGAAAAGUCAGGACUAGAGUUUAUGGCUCAGCAGGCAAACAGAAGCUGCUAGAGCUACUGAGACAAGUAGGUUUAGUCCUCACUUUGCUCUGCUCCUAACAAUUCACACCCCCUCCUACCUCCAAGGGAUCUGUGAUUGUUGGCAUGGAGAUUCAGAGGCAGAAGAGGCAUCAUUUAAGAACAAGUAAAUGAAGAACAAAGUGGUUGAAUGUUUUUCAGUUUGUAGCAAUGGUCCUCCAGCCUUUAACUAUACACAAAAGUGAAAUAAUUUAAUGUACCCUUUGAACAGCCUCGUUGGACUAAGGUUAAGAGUAAAGUAUUUAUGCACAAGUAUGUUCAUCAUUAAAAUUGCAAAAUGUU